rnacentral:rRNA from 1 species
AUGAACCUAGGUCAGGUAAGAUCACCCAUUGAGCUUAAGCAUAUCAGUAAGUAGAGGAAAAGAAACUUACCAAGAUUCCCCUAGUAAUGAUGAGUGAACCAGAAAAAGCCAAGCUUGAGAAUUGGGCACCCACAGCAUUCAAAUUAUAGUCUGGAAAAGCAUCCUUAGUGGUGGAUCGAGCCCAAGUCCCCUAGAAAGGGAGUCCCAUUGUGCCUGGAACUUGUCGUACCAUUACAUACUGUCUACGAGUUGGGUUGUAUGGAAAUAUAGCCCUAAUCAGUUGGUAAAUUCCAUCCAAGGUUGAAUAUGGACGAAAGACCAAUAAUGAACAAGUAUUACGAGGGAAAGAUGAAAAAGACUUUGAAAAGAGAGUCAGAGAGUACUUGAAAUUAUCAAGAGGGAAGCAGAUGGGGGCCAACAAUACACCCUAAUGGGAUGUGGAAUGGUGAUAGUCGAUCCGUCGAUCAACUUGAGGCAUGGAUCAACGGAUAUCACCCAAGCUUGGGCUUUUGAUAUACCUAUAGAGAUGUCAUCAUUGUGAUUAUGGAAUGCAGCACGUACCAUCUUGGCAUGCUCUUGGCAUCAGCCUACGGGUUCCCUAUUGGGCUCAUCUUGAAAUAAGACUAAGAAGUCUAACAUAUGUGUAAGAGAAUGGGUAAAAAAAUGUAUAAGGUAGAAUAAAGCUAAUUAGUAGGAUCCCUUAUGGGUGAACCACUGAUCGACCUUGAUAUUUUGAGAAAGGUUUGAGUGUGAGCAUGCUAGUUAGGACCUGAAAGAUGGUGAACUAUGCUUGAGUGGGGCAUAGCCAGAGGAAACUUUGGUGGAGGCCCAUAGUGAUACUGAUGUGCAAAUCAUUCGUCUAACUAGGUAUAGAGGCAAAAGACUAGUCGAACUAUCUAGUAGUUGGUUUCCUCUGAAGUUUCCCUCAAGAUAGCUAGAGCCCUUAGUGAGUUCUAUCAAGUAAAGCCAAUGAUUAGAGGCAUCGGUACCGUAAUGUCAUCAUCCUAUUCUCAAACUUUAAAUUGCUAGGAUGGCAUGGCUACUUCAUUAAGCCACACUAAGGAAUCGAGAGUUUCAAGUGUGCCAUUUUUGGUAAGCAAAAUUGACGAUGUAAGAUGAUCUAAAAGUGGGGCUAUGAUCCCUAACAAUAUGCUAACCUAGAACCCAUAAAAGGUGUUGGUCGAUUAAGACAGUAGGACAGUGGUCAUGGAAGUCUAAAUUUGCUAAGUAGUGUGUAACAACUCACCUGACAAAUCAACUAGCCCAAAAAAUGGAUGGCACUUAAGAGCGCAACCUAUACCCGACCAUUGGGGCAAGGGCUAGGCCUCGAUGAGUAGGAAGGCAUGACAGUCACUACAAAACCUAAAACCUAAGCCUAGGCAGAGUAGCCGUUAAUACAGAUCUUAGUGGUGUAGCAAGUGUUCAUGAGAACUUUGAAGGUUGAAAAAGGGAAAGGUUCCAUAUGAAUAGCACUUAUACAUGGGUUAGCCGAUACUAAAAGACGAGGCAAGCUCAUUCGAUAGUGCGUCUAUCAUGAGCUUCGAAAAGGAACUGGGUUAAAAUUCUUGAACCAAGAUGCAGUGGCUAAUGACAAUGUUAAGGAUUUUAGAGACUUCGGUAGGAGCCAUAGGAAGAGUUAUCUUUUCUAUGUAAGGCCUGCCUACCGUGGAAAUAGCUCAGUUAGAGAUAGGGUCCAAUAGUCGAAAGAGCACCACAUGUCACAUGGUGUUCAAUGAGCCCCUGAUUGCCCCUGAAAAUCUAGAGAUUUAAGUGCCGUUUGUGCCUAGUCAUACUCAUAACUGCAUCAAGUCUCCAAGUUGAACAGCCUCUGGUUGAUGGAAAAAUAUAGGCAAGGAAAGUUAAGAAAAUGAAUCUGUAACCUCAGGAGAAAAGAUUGGCUUUGAGGGCUAGGCAUGGGGGUCGUAGUCUCGAACUCAUUGGCUAUCGAUGCAUUGCUUAAGCUACUCCUAGGAUGAGAGUGAGUCACCAUAUGUUGGCUAAGGGACGGACUGGGAAUGGCUUCAUUAAGGGCCUUCCCCAUAUGACAAAUAAUUGACUCAAAAUCGAUAUAAACAAGGGAAUCUGAUUGUUUAAUUAAAACAAAGCAUUGCAAUGGUCUUGCGGAUGGUCAUGUAAUGUGAUUUCUGCCCAAUGCUUUGAAUGUUAAAGUGAAAAAAUUCAACCAAGCGUAGGUAAAUGGCAAGAGUAACUAUGGCUCCCUUAAAGUUGCCAAAUGCCUCAUCAUCUAACUAAUGAUGAGUAUGAAUGGACUAAUGAGAUUCUCAAUAUCCCUAUCUACUAUCCAACGAAACCACAACCAAAAGUAUGGGCUUGACAAAAUCAGUGGGGAAAGCAGACCCUAUUGAGCUUGACUUUAGUCCAACUUUGUGAAAUGACUUGAAAGGUGUAGGAUAAGUGAGAGCACUUGGGUGAAAUUGAAAUACCACUACUUUUAAUGUUAUUUUAUUUAUUCCAUGAAUUGAAGGCAGGGCAUGACCUUUUUUUUUAGACCUAAGGUAGGCCUGAAUUGAUUGUUCUGGGUAAAAGACAUUGUUGGGUAAGGAGUUUGGCUGGCAUAGCAUAUCUGUUAAAAGAUAAUGUAGAUGUCCUAAGAUGAGCUUAACGAGAAUGGAAAUCUCAUGUGGAAUAAAAGGAUAAAAGCUGGUUUGAUUUUGAUUUCUAGUACAAAUAUGAACCGUGAAAGCAUGGCCUAUUGAUUUUUCGGACCUCUAGAAUUUGAAGCUAGAGGUGUCACAAAAGUUACCACAAGAAUAACUGGCUUGUGGCAACCAAGUGUUCAUAGUGAUGUUGCUUUUGGUCCGUUGAUGUUGGCUCUUCCUAUCUUUAUGCAGCAGAAUUCACCAAGUGUUGGAUUAUUCAUCCACUAAUAGGGAACAUAAGCUGGGUUUAAACCAUCGUGUGAUAGGUUAGUUUUACCUUACUAAUAGUAGCAUCAUAAUAGUAAUUCAACCUAGUAUUAGAGGAACCAUUGAUUCGCAUAAUUGGUCAUUGCGCUUGGCUGAAAAGCUAAUGCAUGAAGCUACCAUAUGCUGGAUUAUGACAGAAUGCCUCUAAGUCAAAAUCUAGGCUAGAAGUAAUGCAUAUGCUUAUUGCCUGAUUGCUAACCAUAAUUGGGGCCCAUCGCCUCUAAGGGCAUGUGUCAUAGGUGCAGCCCUCGUGAUGGACAAGGACAUGUGUCACAGGUGCAGCCCUUAUGGCAGACAAGCAUACGGGCUUCGUUGGAGCUCAAUUCCUAUUGAGCAGGGGUUAGAAUCCUUGGCAAAUGACUUAAAUACACAAUCGGGUAUUAUAAGUGGUAGAGUGACAUUGCUGCCAUAAUUGACUGACAUUAAGCC